AGAACGAACGCUGGCGGCAUGCCUAAUACAUGCAAGUCGAACGAAGGCUCCGGCCUUAGUGGCGCACGGGUGCGUAACGCGUGGGAAUCUGCCCCUUGGUUCGGAAUAACAGUUGGAAACGACUGCUAAUACCGGAUGAUGACGAAAGUCCAAAGAUUUAUCGCCAAGGGAUGAGCCCGCGUAGGAUUAGCUAGUUGGUGAGGUAAAGGCUCACCAAGGCGACGAUCCUUAGCUGGUCUGAGAGGAUGAUCAGCCACACUGGGACUGAGACACGGCCCAGACUCCUACGGGAGGCAGCAGUAGGGAAUAUUGGACAAUGGGCGAAAGCCUGAUCCAGCAAUGCCGCGUGAGUGAUGAAGGCCUUAGGGUUGUAAAGCUCUUUACCCGAGAUGAUAAUGACAGUAUCGGAGAAUAAGCCCGGCUAACUCCGCGCCAGCAGCCGC
rnacentral:rRNA from 1 species